AAAAUGGACUGGGCAGUGCCAGGUAGGGGAACGACACCUUCAUUUUCUUUUUGGAUCUGGAUAGCACAUUCAUGCAAUUCUUGAUAUACUUAUUGUAUUGAUGCAUCACGUGGGGAAGAAACUAAAAUGCCAUCACAGGCGUACAUUCAGGUGAGUCAUUGCAGACGGCAACGACCAUCCAGGACAAGUCGUCGACGAAGGCGGCGGAUAUGUUGAGCUUGGUCCGGAGGACCAUGAUGGAAGCCCUGGUCCUCUCGAUGGUGAACGGCUCUACACCAUUAGCAUCCUGGGUCCUCAGCUGCACACACUAGCUUCUUCUCGUACGACAACAGCCGGACACGCUCCUCUGCCUGCAAAUGCAUUCCAGUUCAUAACUAGGCUUGAAUUAAGUGCACACAUUACCCAAGAGACAACCAUUUGAUAAGCAAAUCCAUUUGGAAAAAUAUAAACUGAGACAUAAAGCUCUAAUAUCAAGUCAAUGAUUAUUAACAAAAAUAAAUACUAUGGUGCCUUUAGGUGUAUUUGACAACAAAUAAUAAGAAAUAUUAAGUAGAACUACUAAUCCUAGAACUGUCAUUGCCAUAUAGAAAGGAUCGGGUGUAUUUCCAUUAAGAAUUCACUUUUAUUUCAUUUGUCAAGAAGUCGAACUGAAGAGGAGAAUACCUCUUAUAUUGCAUAUUUCUUCACCAAAGCGUUUUAACAUGCAAUGCAAGCAAGAGGUAGUUGGUCUCCUUACACCAAAAGUUCAACAAAUCAAUUUGCAAACAAAAAGAGCUGAGAUAAAUUUCCAAAUAACAUGGUAUAGCCUUUUCUUAAUUAACGCAAUAAUUUUAAAAAAGGGAUAUCCUCAUGAACAGCAGCAGAAGAAGGGAAAGCCUAAAAUGUUUCUCCAAACUAAUGACCCAAAGUUCUGAAGUAACCUCUAAAAUUGUUGUUGGACAACUGAACUGUCAUAUCUUUCAACCACAAAAAGA
rnacentral:lncRNA from 1 species